AGGGCGCCCGGGUCAGUGAUUUUCCCUGCCCCAACCCCCCCGCCCCCAUCCGACCUGCUGCGGAAUUGCACUAUCAGAAAGGAUGUGACCCUUCGUUCAACCUGCUCACCGCUGACUCCAGAGCCUGGCAUGCUUACUUCUGGGAUGGAUGGUUGAAUGGCCAUAGUCCUGAGCCUCUUGAAGAUUUGUACUUUGGUUUAGACUCCAUCCGUUUUUCCUUCAGCACCUCAAAGAGUAUCUACUAAGCUUUGUCUCUUACUUCUGUCAUCAAAACCAGUCCCGGACUAGCACGAUAUGGGUGGUGAGAUCAGAUAGAACUUCCCGGUGUGUUCCAGGACCUGAAGAAUUGCAGAUGUGAAGGGUGAUAACCCUGGUCCUGGAUCUGCUCUGGGUGAUGGGUACUGACUCAUUCAGGUGUGUUAGCAACAAAGUGGACAGACCUAUCACAGGAAAUAUUCUGGUUAGACCAGGACUGGGAGCCAUUCAUCUGUCUCUUGGCAGCUGUUCUCAGGCCUGGCAUCUGAAAGACACUCAAGAAACGGCUAUGGACUGCUCUGGUUAACAGGGGCCUGUGCAUUCCAGAGCCCAAGCACCAGCUUUUGGAGAACUGGAACCAAGCCAGAAGCUGCUCCAGAGUGAAGCUCUCAGGGCCCAGGGCAAGACCUCCCAAACUUAGGGUCUGUCUCCAUAUGCUGGAGAUAAGGGGGUUGGCUCCUUCCUCCAACCUAGGGAAAAGGAAACCCAAUCAAGUACUUCCUCCAGGAUUUAGCAGAGGCGACACCACCACGAGAAAUGUACUUGCUGGAGCAACCAAUGCUCACAGCACACAACCCUAAGGGGUUGGGAGAAUGGGUAGGUUCCCAAUUUAUCUGGGUUUGGAAGGAACAUCUAGUCUAGGGUCCGUCAGAGUCAAAAGCACUGCCAGGAAGAAGGACAGGGUUGGAGGGAAAAGCAGAGAGCCAUCUUGGCUGAGCACAUAUUGGCCAUUCCCCAGGUCCACUUCCUUUGGCCUAUGUGCGCGCGCGCGCGCGCACACACACACACACACACACACACGUGUUCUCUCACCUGUGGAGGGCUGUAGCUGCUGACAGUGGGGGUGCUGGUAUUGGCGCUUGAGCCAGGGAUGUUGCUAUUCUUGUUGUAGCUGCUGGCCCCUGGUGGGUUCCGAGCAGGGCUGUAGCUGGGCGGUGGCGGCGGCUGCUGGGGUGGCGGCUGCGGCGGUGGCGGCUGCUGGGGUGGUGGCUGUUGCUGGGGAGCCCGGUUGUAGCUGCCUCGGUUGUUGGAGUUGUUGUUAUCCCGGCUGUUAUUACCCCAGCGGUUCUGGUUGUAGCCACCACCUCCGCUGCGGUUGAAGCCUGUAUCGGAGAAGCCAGGGAGAGGUCCGGUCGCUCCGAACCCUCAGACCCCCGGGCUCCUCCCCACCGCCAUGCAGCCUUAAUAACUAAGUCAUCGUUAUCUGCAGACAGGCUUGUCUUGCCCAUUAGACUGUGAGCUUGGGACCAGGGCUGUUUGGGUUUCUACUGUGUCCCCAGCAACUCAAUGGCUGUUGAACCAAUCGGAAGGGGUGGUCAGGAAGAGGGGAACUAAGUACCGGACACAGCCGGUCUCUCCUGAGUCGUUGAACAGAUGUGGCUGGGCCCAGAAUCCUUCCCCCUGCCAGCUCCAACAGGUUUCUGGACCUCAGCUUAGCCACUGGUGUUUUGGGAAGCCUUUCCUGAGCUCCCUCCCAGGCUGGAUCAGGUAUCAGCCAAGCCCACACUAACCCUGGGCUUUGCCACUCGGCCCAGAAUCCUUCUGGACUGUCACUACAGGCUGAUGUGUCUGUCUGGGUCAUGGCUGUGUCCCCAGAAUCAUCUAGCAUAACACUGAAACAGAGUUGGGCAUGCUAGUUAGAUCAUCAUACACUUUGCUUCAGAGAUAGCAGAACUUAGUGACAGAAAGCCUGGGCUUUGGACCACUUGGUCCCAUCUCUGGAUUUAGCUGGGCAAAUUAACCUUUUUCAGCCCACUUCUCUAUUUAACACCUAGUACCCAAAACAGUCUUAACAUCGAUCUUGUACUAGGUCCUGACCUGGAACCCAAGACUAGCAAUAAACUCAUGGUCAGAUGGAAGGGAAGAUUCACCAAUGAUACUAGAGUGACCUGCAAAGGGGUAUGGGCUUCAGGAACAAUGCCCAGGGGAAGCAAGACAGCAGGAGAGUUCCCCUGAGGGCCCAGAAUUGGACUUGCUGUGGUUCUCCACCAGAAUUCAGCCCAUAGCUAGUCCUACAGAAGUCUCAUCUAUUGACUGAGUAAGCAAUCACAAAGCCCAACCCUGCUCUGGGAGCCAAAAGCGGAGAGAGCCCUGUUUGAGAUGUCUCACCUCCUCGGUAGUUGCCUCCUCCACCGCUACCACCCCCUCGGUUCUGGAAGCCUCCUCGGUUGCCCCCUGGUGGGCCUCUGUUGUCAUAGCGCUGGAAGCCUCCACCACCGCCUCGGCCACGGAAGCCACCACCUCCACGGUUGUCAAAGCGCUUUUCAGGGGGUGGCCCAGCCUUGCGACCUUCCUCAUUGUACUGUCUCACCAGCUUGUCUGCUUCUUCCCGCUGCAGCUCAAUGAACAGCACCUCAUCCAGGAAGUCCCCGACGUCUGGCAACGUGAAGUUGGCUAGGAAGAAGUCAGGGCCCCAGAGGGAACAGAGGUCAUUAUCUUCUGAGGUCUGGUCCCCUACACCCCCAGGACACUGGCCUGCCAGAAGGGAGAUGGUAGAGGGGAUGAGAAGUGAGUAACAAAGUGAGAAGAGUCUCAAUCUUUCUGACAAUGAUCAAGAGUUAACAAAGACCCUCCUCUCUUCUGAAGAGGUGGCUAAGUGCCACCAAAUUUAAACACUCCUUCCAGCCUCCCCAGGAGGUGGGCCAGGCACGUGGAACCAGCAUUCUUAUUUCUACAGAGGAGGAGACUGAAGCCUGCUCAGUACCCCACUGGUGGUAUUGAGUGCGGGGCUCUCACUGUCUUUUCCCACACAUCUUCUCCCUCAUGCUGCCCCAGCCCCAACUAGUCUGAAAACUGUGCUACAGGACUGCCAGCAGCUCUUCCAUUCACAGCUGCACCAGACAAGGAAGGGCAGAACAGGAGUAAGGGAAGAAUGGACAAGAUCAAAAAAGGAAUAAGCCAGGAGCUGGGGAGGAAGGGACUGCGGAAGGAGCUUUUCUCUGGAGGAGCCUGCUGUGCUGGCCCCCUGGGAACGGCUCAUCUCCUACCUUUCAUUUCUAGGACCGCGUGAUCUGGGACAUCCUUUCCUUCCUCGUCGGUUCGCUUUAUUGUUCGAUCUUUUAGGUCCUCAUCAGUGGGACAAAUUACAAUGGCUUUGCGCUGGAAGCCUUCAAA